rnacentral:rRNA from 1 species
CUUGAACGCUGGCGGCAGGCCUAACACAUGCAAGUCGAACGAGUGGCGGACGGGUGAGUAAUGUCUGGGAAACUGCCUGAUGGAGGGGGAUAACUACUGGAAACGGUAGCUAAUAACGCAUACCAUCAGAUGUGCCCAGAUGGGAUUAGCUUGUUGGUGUGGUAACGGCGCACAAAGGCGCCGAUCCCUAGCUGGUCUGAGAGGAUGACCAGCCACCCUGGAACGGAGACACGGUCCAGACUCCUACGGGAGGCAGCAGUGGGGAAGAUUGCACAAGGGGCGCAAGCCUGAUGGAGCCAUGCCGCGUGUAUGAAGAAGGCCUUCGGGUUGUAAAGCACUUUCAGCGGGGAGGCGGUACCCGCAGAAGAAGCACCGGCUAACUCCGUGCCAGCAGCCGCGGUAAUAC